UACAGAGGGGGCAAGCGUUGUUCGGAAUUACUGGGCGUAAAGGGCGCGUAGGCGGCCUGCUAAGUCGAUCGUGAAAUCCCUCGGCUUAACCGGGGAACUGCGUCUGAUACUGGAUGGCUUGAGUUUGGGAGAGGGAUGCGGAAUUCCAGGUGUAGCGGUGAAAUGCGUAGAUAUCUGGAGGAACACCGGUGGCGAAGGCGGCAUCCUGGACCAACACUGACGCUGAGGAGCGAAAGCCAGGGGAGCAAACGGG
rnacentral:rRNA from 1 species